ACAGUCGGAGAGCCAUAUAGUGACGAAAUGGUCUUUCAUUUCAUCGGCAUUUGCGAAAUACGAUUCCAAUUAAGAGGGUAUUUACAUGCUAUAUUCUUGUCAAGUCAGUCAUAAAUACUUGGGUUCGUUUAUUUUUGAUAAAUUCCAAAGGUGUCAUUGACAACCAACUACAAGGCCCUACACUCCCACCUUAAAGCAGAUCUACUUAAACACAAAAUUAUUCUACGAGAAACACGUAGAGAAGAGAUAUGAUAUGCUUAAGUUCACGUGCAAAUCCUGAUUUAGGGAAGAACUAUGACUACAAUAUGGAAAUACUAGAAACUGGACCAUUGGAUGCUUCAAAGGAAUUUUAUGGUGCUAGAAAUAAUGUCAAACCAAAAGUAUUUGAAGAACCAGUGUGUCAACAAGCCCUUCAGAACCAUCUUCCAAUUAAAAAGAACAAGGCUGCACAGCAAAAAUCUC